ACCCUCUGAGGGUCACACCUGGAGAGUUUCCAGUACUCUACUAGUAUUGACUACGGAAGGGAGAGUCAGGCAGAGGCAUAACCAUUCCAUUUCUAGCUUGGGCAGUGGCUAGUGAGUGGAAAGCAAUCUGCUACAAGU